UCCGUCGACUUUAAAAA
rnacentral:tRNA from 4 species